UUUUUACAUUUUCAUAUUGACGUUCAACAGAUUUCUUGCCAUAUAAGAGCCUGGGAUGCAAAAAUUCAAUUUAAGAGCAACAGAGAGAAAGAGGGGAGAAAAAAAUUAUAUACAGCAUAACAAUUCAAAGUAGUUCUUCAUCAACCAUAUGAUAUGUGUGGAGUCACUAUAUACAAAAAAACAUAAAUAUCUGAUGAAAUAAAUAGCACUGUCAUAACACUCGUACUGUCACUCAAGCAAAGCUACAUGUCAGGAAGUGCAGAGACCCAGUCCCGGUCCACAUCCAGGAAUUACACACCUGGGCCGAAACACACAUAAAUACACACAUACACCAGUUUGUCCAACUGCACACAAACGCUGCAAAAAGCUUUGGGUCAGAAGAAGGGCUUCAGACAAAGUUAGGGAUAUGUGCGAUGCGUUUACUGUGUUCACACUAACAUGCUACUGUUUACCCUACAUGAAAAAAGAAGAGAAAGACUUGAGGCUAAUUUUGGACAUUUUAGGGAAUUCACAAAAUAAUUAGGGAAAUAAAGAAGAUAAAACUUUCAUUUUAUGCUUGUGGAUUGGCAAAUGUGGGGAGUUUGACCUACACUACAGGAAGGCACCGUAAAGGCAUUCACCUUUUAAUCAUUCAUGUGGACAUUGUUUAGAAGCAGUCAGGGGAUGUCUGCCUGUUGAGCCCUGCAGCAGAACAAAUAAAAAAGAGCACUGUCACUUCUUCUAGUCACCAGUAAUUCAGAGUAAAAAGUGUCCUCGAUUUAAUUCAAUUAAUGUUUUGCCUUUUGGAAAGAGCGCCUACUCAUAGUGCAAAAGAAACAGAUUAGCUGCAUUUUCUUGAUGAAUUAACUACUCUGCAAUUAAAAAAAAAAAAAAAAAAUCUUAAACGCUCUGAAUCUUUCCUGUUUGUCACAUAAAUUAAGUAAUGUUCCCACGGUCUGACUGAACCGGCCAACUGCAGUUAGUGUGUUUACUAAUGUUAGUGGUUUUAACAUUUAUAUUCAUUAUGUUUAAACCCCAGACACUGCUGUAAAUUACACAAAUACUGGUGAAAGGAUGUAGUAUCUUCAGAUAUGCAUAGAACAAAUCAGCUUUCCAGUAUGGAUCAUGUUUCAAUCUUAACUUCAAAGUGUAAAAAAGUCUGGUUGUAUGAGAUUACUGUUGGAUUAUGAAUCGAGCUGACCUUCCCAGAAUUGAAAAAUAAGGCAUCAUGAAAUGGUUUUCAUCAAGAGGAGGAGGAGGACUAGUAACACUAGGUUUGUAGUCAGGAGCAUCUACUUCCAGACCGUUCUUUACCUGGAUAAGAAUGUGUUGAGUCUGAAGACAAGACUGAAGAUUUAAGAUCCAGCUGUAGGUCUACAGUAGGUCUAGCAUGGCCUUUAGUGUUUAUGGCAUAGAUGAAAACAGCUAAUGUUGCUCUAAUGGAACUUUGUAUACAUUAGCUCAAUAGCUUUAUGUGUCCUGUCUGUCUCAUCAUUGCCCAUCGUGUCUAAAAACUUGGCAGCAAAAAUUGUCAGCACAUGUCCUGUCCCAUCCAUCUGUCACUAAAACAUCACUAGCUAUAUCACUCAAUAAAUGUUAAAUACAUACGGUCGCUUGUGCAACCAGCCAGGUGGCAAAUAGCAAACAACUGAUGCAAGAGAUCUGAAACAUGUCUUUUGGUGAGGGAUGAGAAGUCUGAAGAGUUUUAUUACACACACAGAAUGCUAUCGUUAGCUGUCUAGCUUCAUUAGCAUCCUUUAUACUAUUGACAGCCACAGCUGCUUCUCCAAAAAUCUGAAGUGACAAACUUCUACAUCAAAUCACAGUAGGUGUUAACAAAUGAGAAAGUCUUCUGAGUCCUUUUUUUAUGCUUUAGGUUUUGAUCCUGGAAGGUCAAAUCUAUUGUAAUCUUUCAGUUACAAUGGGCUUAGAUUUGCAGUCCAGAUUUACAUGAGCCCCUUUUUUAUCUGAAUUUACUCCAGGGAGGCUCUGUAAAUGUCAGUAGGAUGUGAGCGGCUAAAGACUGAGUACAAAACCAAUUGCGGAGAAAUAGCAUAUUUUUAAAAUAUCAGAUUUGACAUUUUUCAAAUGAUCUUUACGUUUGUUUUGUGUGUGUUUUUCUACAUUACAUUAGAAGGACUUUUCCACACCCAGCCCACUGAGGAUGCACAGUGGCU